AGAUCUUCCAGGAAAAUCCACGUCUUCCAGGAAAUCCAUGUCUUCCAAUAAUUUCAAGGUCUUCCAUCAAAUACAGAUCUUCCAGCUAAUCCAUGUCUUCCAGAAAAAUCUGUGUCUUCCACCAAAUCCAAGUCUUCCAGUAAAUCUAGUUCUUCCAGAAAAAUCUAGAUCUUCCAGUCAAUCAGUGUCUUCCAGAAAGAAAUCCAGGUCUUCCAGUCAGUCAGUGUCUUCCAGAAAAAUCUACGUCUUCCACCAAAUCCAGGUCUUCCAGUCAAUCCACAUCUUCCGGAAAAAAUCCAGGUCUUCCAGCCAAUAUAUGUCUUCCUGAAGAUCCACGUCUUCCAGAAAAUCCAUGUCUUCCAGAAAAUCCAUGUCUUCCAGUAACCUCCCAGUCUUCCAGAAAAUCCACGUCUUCCCAACAAUCCAAGUCUUCCGGAUAAUUUGGGUCUUCCUGAAAAUCUACGUCUUCCAAAAAA
ensembl:lncRNA LINC00632 long intergenic non-protein coding RNA 632